CCGGUUUUCGGUUGGCGGCUCCAUUUUGAGUUUGAACCCGAGUCUUCAUUCUUCGCUCCCUUUCCUUGCCGGUCCGGUUCCGGCGAACAGCCAAGGAAAUGACCCGCCGACUCCUCGGAAACUAAGCGGUAACCGCUUAUAUGUUGAUGCUAUGUUGCUUGACGAGUUCUCGUGUUUUUUUUUUUGUCUGUACUGUUUGCUAAUUUGUGGUGAAUUUUUUGCUUAAUGGUAAGUGAAAGUUUCUCGAUCGAUGAUUUCUCAAAUUCUCCAUAUGUAUUUUUUAGAGUUUUACAUGAAUUAUUUUUUUUUUUAACCUCUUGGAGCCUAGCCUAGGGUUAGGCUAACUCUUAUAAUUUGUAUAUUAUGAUAGAAAGGAGUUUUUCUUCACGAAUUUCUAGAGUGGUGUACUCUUUAAUUAAAGUUGAGUUGAAGCUGGAUUCUGAUGAUUAAUUGAAUAAAUUUGUUUUUAAUUAUUAUCUCUUUCCUUCAAAUCUUGUAAAUUUGGAUUUCUAUCCGCUAACUUGUUUGAAAUUUGAAUGCUGGUAGAAUUAUAGUAAAUGCCCAACCUUUGAUGUUUAACGUAAAUUCUUUUUAGUCAUUAGCCCUUUUUCUUCAAUAAUCUGAUAAAUUUGGAUGUCUGUCUCUUGAAUGGUGUAGAAGAAUGGUUUAAAGAUGAGCUUAUUGGACAAUUAGGCUGUUAGUGACUGUUCCAUUAAAUGCUGUGUCCCUAAUCCUUUUGUUUCGGGGGCUCUGCAAACUGAAUGGCAAAGUCUUUUACUGAGGCAGUAAGGGGAGGUGCCAUUAAAGUCUUUUAAGCUUGCUCCGUAAAUGUAGGUUGUCAGGUGCUAAUUUGAUUCCUUUUUUGGCAGGGUUACGGCCAAUAUCUUUCAUCUGAAUACAUUAAAAUUAUAAUUAUGUAGAAUAACUUACUAUUAAAAGAUAUUACAUAUAGAUUUGUUCCUGAUUGUAUUUAAUUUUGCAACUAGUUUUUGAAAUAUCUGGUCAGAAAACAAUUAAUGCAUUAAAAGAUGACUUUGCAACACAUUCUUCUUGCGUAAAAUUUCAAAUGGAUAAAAGAUGGUUGAAAAGGAGUUGGGCAUUAUGAGAAUCGGGGCCUCUCGCACACAAACUUAGAAUUGGACCACUAGACCGAACACUCAUUUGUUGUCUAUAAUUUACUGUUAUUACAUUUACAGGUAGUAUUUUUCAAGAAAUGGUGCAUACCUUUUAUUUAUUGAUGAACUUUCUCUGAUCGGAAAUAGAUUGUUUGUGAUCCUUUUUGCUAUUGGAAUUUACACUUAUCAUCACAUCCCAAAAAUUGGGUUAGUAGAAUCUGGUUUGUGAAGUGUUCACGUCCCGAUUUUUAAAAUUAUCUUUGUGCAUUUAAUAAAUAAAUGAGUUAUUGGUCUAAUCAUUAAGUAUUAGUUACAUUGUCAUUGAAACCCGAGUUUGAUUCCUUUUCCUAGCAUCUUUUCUAUUAUUUUGCAAAUUUUACUUCAAAUCCUAGUAAGUGUCACACCUUGUUUUAAAAAUAAAUGUUGUAAGAGUUUAAAUAAGAAUGAGUUAGACUUAGUGGUUAAGAAGUAGUGGUAUCAGAUUAUUGUUCGCAAUCCUGUUAUAAGCCAAAAUAGAGUAAGCAUUGAUCUCCAAAACCAAAUCCGAAAAGCCACUCUCUUUCCUCUGUUAUGGUUGAACCCUACAGGGUGGUUAAGGACUUAAUUUUAGUUCAUUCUCUGCGUUGGGUACAGAUCUGAAUUGGAUCUAGUUAUAUCUAAGACGUAGGAGUUGCAGAAUAGCGAUAGAGUUUUGGUUUCGCGUUAAUCAAGUGUGGGUCUUACCUUUGGGUGUUUUGGUGAUAAUUGUAAAUUAUGUGAUAUGCAUGUUGGUUAAUUGUACAUGUUGAUUUUUGUGCUUAGCCGAAUAGCCUUGUGUUAGAUACGGGAUUGUCGAUUAUGGUAAGUGCUAAAAGGUGAUAGCCGAAUGUGCAAAGCCUUUAUUUGGGAUUAAUUGAAUGUGUAAGUGUUGAUUGUAAUUACUGAUUGUCUGCUAUGGCUGAGUAUGCAUAGACUGCUAAUGUAUUAUAUGGUAUUGUUAUCACAUGUUUCCCGAAUGUAUGAGAAAAUGCCUACUAUUCUGUAUUUACUAAUUGCAUGUAAAGCAUGCCACUGUUACUGAAUUACUGAUCGUAUGUUAAAACAUGCCACUAUUCUGUAUUGUACCUAUUCUAUCAUGCAUGUUAUGUGAUUCUGUUGUAUGGGUUGGAAAGAUUGAUGAUUGUGUAGUUCUGCCGGUUUAUUCGCAAAUAUGGGAGUUAUGGCGGAUAAUCCUCAAAUAUUGGAGUUCUGGCAGUAUAGCUGCAACAUUGGAGUAUUAUUCGGAGUUCUAGCGGUUCGUCCGCAAAUUUUUACUGGCAGUUUAACCACAAAUUAUUGUCAUUUUAUCUGCAAAUAUUAUUGUUACUGGUGAUUUAUCCACAAUGAGGUACGGCUCUUAUUGUUAUGGUGUGUACGGAUAGAUGAAUUCUGGGGAACUCAUGGUGUGUAGUGGAUGGAUGGAUAGGAAAUUGCACUGACAUCCAUGGACAUGUACAUACAUUCUGAGAACUCUGUGAUUCUGUAUAUUUUGAAACACUGUGAUCUGUGACACUGUUAUUACUAUUAUCUCUAUUUACUUGCAUGCUUUUGUGAUCUUUGGUACACUGAUUUCUUAUGAUUAGGACUCAUACUGAACAUUCAAGUUCACCCAUUUAAUUUACUCCUUACAGAUAAUCCUCAAGGUUAGGAUUGGAUUCGUCAUACGGAGGUCUCGUCUCAGAUUUUCAGUUAAUAAAGUAUUUUUAAUUUUACUUUAUUUAUUUUGGUUUUAUUUUUGGGACUAUAAAUUUUAUUAAUAAUGAACCGUGGUAUGGGUUGUUUUUAUUUGGGAUAUUGCAUGCAUGAAAAUUUUUUGUGAAAACCGAACGGAUUUAAUAACCGGCUUAAUAUGAUUUAAAACACGAAUUUUCUUACAAAAUCAAGGACAUCACAUUUUUCCGCUGCAUAGUGAUGAAACGUAAUUUUAAAUGUUUACUGAUGAAAUCAAUUGAGUUUUUUUUUCAAACGACACGAUUUUCUAAUAAAUUGAAUUUAAAUUAUAGGCAACCUAACAAUCUGAUGUUUUAAAUAAACCUAAGGCAACCACGCUAAGUUUUUUUGGAAAUUGAUCAAAAUAGUGAUUUUUUUAAAACCAAACAGAUUUAUUUGACCAUUAUGAUGGCUAAUGUACCUUUUAGAAUUCAACCAUAACAUCUAGGCCAGGUUUGAGAGGUUACACUUAUUUAGUUAUGCAAGAAUACCGAAGUCUUCUAUUUGCACUAGGAUGCUUGCUAACUAAUAGCUGUAAAGUCAUUCUGUAAUUUCGUUGACCUGGGUUUGAAUCCUAUUUUGACCUUUGGUUGGAGGCAUUUUGGUGCAGAAGGAGGAGCUAAAUGUAAGAGGCCUAUAGCAUGGAGUAUUGCUUGGUGCUUCGUCAGAAUGACAUAUGGACAUGCUUCUUACCCAGAAGAAGAAAAAGGCAUAUUUGCUUUCUAUUGCCCAUCCCUCUCUCCUUUAUUUUUUUGGCUAAACAGGUUAUUGUCGAUUAACAGCUUUAUUCCUUUAUUUUGACAGGGUUAAGGUAGAAUUCCAUUUACUAAUGACCGUUAUUCCAGGUAUGAGCUAGCUUGCCUACAUGCAAAGAUAAUACAUACAGUCUACUUUAUUUGUUUUUCGAUUUAUUUCUCAAUAGUUAUUGAAAAAUGGAUCAAUCUAAGUCUCUAAAGUUCUGUAUUAUGCUCUUAAAGUUGACUUCAGUACAGAUUCUUCUAAUAAAAUAUUUUAGGAUAUGGGAACCAAAAGGAGAAAAAAGCAGGGUUAUUGGGGCAUUCCGAGAAUCGAACUCGGGACCUCUCGCACCCAAAGCGAGAAUCAUACCACUAGACCAAAUGCCCAAUUUUUGGUAUCUAUCAUGUCUGGUUUUUACUUAUCAGAUCUUUUUCUCAUAGGACUCCUAUGAAUCUUCGACGGGGUCAUUCUUGGAAGACCAAAAUCUUCCAAUUUCUCAUUUUUGAUGUGGUUCAAUGUAUCAUUUGCCUUCUACAAUUGGAUGCUAAGGACUUUUGCAUUAGCAACAGGUUACAGAUUUCAUUUAUAUUUUAAUCCCAGACUCCCAGUUUAAAGUUAUUAAUUCUUAAUACGGAUCCCUUAGAGGCCAAAACAUCUAUAGGUUAUGAAAUUACCAAAUCUUAUAAAUUUCUUUUAACCAUGAAGAGUCUGGCCGCUAAAUCAAUAGUUUGCAUUUAGAAAUUAGAACAUUUUGAAUUAUACUUCAAAAAAAUUUUAAAAAUGAAAUUGCAGAACAUCUAGGUAGCUAGUAGAAUAAACCUAAUCACCAUAUAUUGUCCCGAUAAAAUUUUCAAGCUGGUUAUCGAAGUCUUUAGGUGUUAAUUUAGUUGGUAAAGUUGUUUGGUUAUUGCUUGAGGAUGUAGGUCUGAACCCCACCUUCAUCAAAGGGUAAGGGAGUGGGGGUUGAGGGAAGGGAGAGAGCUAAUCCACAUAAUGUAGCCUGGCAGUUGGAUCAGGAAGAAGGAAAUAAAAGCAGUCUUAGCAGAUAGAGAAGACAGAGACUCACUCAGAAAGGAGGGAAAAUACCUGGCAGUUGGACCAUGAAUUUUGAUAAUUUGUUUGUAUUUUUAUUUCUUUAUUUGUUAAAAUGCUUGACUUAAUAGGUUGAUGGCUAGUGAGCUCUUAAAAAUAUUACAUAUAGAUUUGUUGCAUUUAAUUUUGUUACUCGUUUUUGAUAAGUCUUGUUGGAAAACAACUGAUACUUAGAAAGAUGACUUCUGGUGACAUUUUUCUUGCGCAAAGUUUCAGAUGUAUAGAAGAUAAUGAAUCGAAAGCAGCUGGGCAUUCUGAGAAUUGAAUUGAAACCUCUCACACCCAAAGAAUCAUAUCACUAGACCAAAUACUCAUUUGUUGUCUAAAUUUAUUGCUAUUACAUUUAGAGGUAGUAAUUUUCAAGAAAUGGUGCAUAUCUUUAUUAAUUGAUGAAAUCUUUGACCCUCUGAUCAGAACUAGAUUGUCUAUUAUCCUUUUUGCUAUUGGAAUUAGCAAUUAUGCGAAGUGUUCUAUUCGAACAAGAAUGGUAACUACUUUAGCUCUAAACCCUUUCUG
rnacentral:lncRNA from 1 species